rnacentral:rRNA from 1 species
CCUACGGGAGGCAGCAGUGGGGAAUAUUGGACAAUGGGGGCAACCCUGAUCCAGCCAUGCCGCGUGUGUGAAGAAGGCCCUCGGGUUGUAAAGCACUUUCAGUGAGGAAGAACGCCUGGUGGUUAAUACCCAUCAGGAAAGACAUCACUCACAGAAGAAGCACCGGCUAACUCCGUGCCAGCAGCCGCGGUAAUACGGAGGGUGCGAGCGUUAAUCGGAAUUACUGGGCGUAAAGCGCGCGUAGGUGGCUUGAUAAGCCGGUUGUGAAAGCCCCGGGCUCAACCUGGGAACGGCAUCCGGAACUGUCAAGCUAGAGUGCAGGAGAGGAAGGUAGAAUUCCCGGUGUAGCGGUGAAAUGCGUAGAGAUCGGGAGGAAUACCAGUGGCGAAGGCGGCCUUCUGGACUGACACUGACACUGAGGUGCGAAAGCGUGGGUAGCAAACAGGAUUAGAUACCCUUGUAGUA